GUCUAUGGCUAUGCUACCCUGAACAAGCCCAAUCCCAUCUGACCUUGGAAGCUAAGCAGGGUCAGGCCUGGUUAGUACUUGGAUGGGAGACCACCUAGGAAGACCAGGUGCUGUAGGCA
rnacentral:rRNA from 1 species